rnacentral:misc_RNA from 1 species
GGGCAAUAUAUCUACCAGGACUCUUAGCUGUUUUUGCUCUAAUAGCAUAUCGUCUAUUCUGGAACCAGUUCCAAACUUGUUUCAUUUGAACCACAAAUUUUCCAGAUCUCUCCGAUGAAGAACUAAACUUCUCAGCAAGAUCUACAAGAACUUCACGGGCUGGCAUUGUGAUAUUAUGAGCUUGCAAUAUAGCUUCCAUCUCAGCUACCUGCAACAUUUGACAAAUUUACCAAGGUUUUCAACCAGAUCUGAUAUCUUGCUGCGGAAGUU